AUGUUGAUUUCAGCCCUUCUGACUGGCUGCCUCUACACAAGACACUGACUGCACAGUCAUUACUGCACAGUCAUUUAGUACCUGCAUACACAAAUACUAAAUGACUACAAUAACUGGAGUUACUGUGCUGUAGUGUUCCUGAACGGUUUUUUGCUGAUGCUAUCUGUGCAGUAGCUUGUUAGUACUGCGCAGUAGCAUCGCGUCCCACUUUGUGCAUGCUACUGCACAGUAGUAACAAGCUACUAUGCAGUAAUAACAACUGACUGCACGGUCAGAGUCUCAUGUAGACAACAGCCAGUGAGGAAGAAAUUGAACCCAGCUCUUCGGCAUCCUGGCUAAGUGCUCUACCCAGGGAGCUGCCAUCACUCGUUCAUAUUGUCUGAAGGCCCUGAGACAGGUGUUAUUUUGGCUACAAAAAAUAAAGCACUAUAGCAGGCCACCUGGUUGGAGGGUGACAAAGGUGCCACAAAGGUGCACUCUCCAGCCAGGGGACAAGAGAGAGCUGCUCUGUAAGGGAGCUUGUCAGUGAGACAGGAUUGCAAGCCCUUCGGAGUUCCUGGCUCCCUGGGAGGAGCUGUCUGAUGCCAUUCUCAGGCUGUCCAGGAGCCCCUUAAAAGUUUCUGGUGCUUUAAUGGGCUGCCGGUGUUCUGGCACUAGAAACCCCCUAAAGGUCCUGGGUUUCAGGUGCUCCUGUCACUCUUGCUGCUAGGGCUCCCUGCAAGCCUUCCGCAGCAGCAAAGGCUAACUGGGGGCUCUCCACCAUUUACGCACAGCUCCUUCACCCUGGCCACUGGGUGGCAACAGUCAGGGGGCUGCCUGGAAUUCCCCUGCAGUGACAGGGACUGAUCAGAGGGCCUGCACCCUGCCACCCCCAACCAGUCUCUGCCACAGCUGCUUGCAUAGAGGCUAGGGCGGUAGGGCUCCCUGCAAGGGCAGAAGGAACCGAUUGUAGGGCGCAGGCCCCUCAUCAGCCCCUGCUGUUGCUUGCAGGCAGCCCACGCACCUUUACCACCCACCCGACCUUUACAUGUGGUCCCUGCUGGGUGGGGGCUCAGUAAGCAGAGCUGGCACUGUUCCCCCGCUUCCAGCAGAGCACGGGGACCGGCUCUGCUCAUCCCCUCCCCUGCGGGGACUAAGGCUCUUCCUGGCAUCUGCUUGGGUUGUAGGGGCUUUAAAGGGUGAGGGGGCAGCCCGGGACCACCCACCAGCACCAUCCCUGGCUCUUGGGCUGCUGGCAUGCCAGGAAUUUAAAGGGCAAAACUGGUGUGACUGGACAAGGGGCAGUCCCAGGGUCUAGGGCAGAGGCAGCUCCAGCCCUGUCCCCUUUUUCAGCUGUACCAGGGAGGAGGCAGCAUACCCUGACAGCUUCACAGAGCAGGCAAGUUUUCCUCCCUUUUGGGGUGAGGGAGGAGGGAGAGCAAGGGACUGUGGCCUACUGGUACAUAGGAAUACCAGUCCAACAUGGUAAAUGUGUGGCAAAAAAAACUUUCCGCCACAAAAAGUUGCAAUUUUAAACGGUUCUGGUUUUUCAGCAGAUUAACCAUUUAGGGCAGAUCUCCCGUGCUGAUUGGCACAUAUCGAACCUAAUGUUUGCUUCUGCCUAGCUACUGGUGCUCUGAUUAUUGGAGGAGCUGGGGGUAUCAUCAAGAAACCUGUCACGCUUGGACCACUACCUCCUAGAGGCACAGAGCUCUGUCCUCUGUGGCUCCUGUCAGGGUUGUGGAUUGGUGAGGCUGGUCCGCUCCCAGAGGCUCAUGGAUCCAGCACGCUUCCAAAACUCUGCAGGACAGUCCCACAGAUCUUGAUGGCCUGGCUGAGUUGGAGAACAAUGCGCUGACCCUCACCACUCCCUACCCAGCACAGCGGGGGGCUCAGCACAGAUGCAGCCUCCUGGUACCCCCAACACCACGCGCUCCUGCACAGCAAUCACUGCCUGUAAUGGCCUUCCUUUCCUACUGUGCUCCCCACGCCCUGCCCACCCAGAGGGCUUGCCCCACUCCCAGCACAGGGAGGUACCAAGUAGCUGUGGGACUUAGGGGGUCCAACUGCCCUUGGACCUGGCCACUUCCUGGGUACACUUGUAGGGAGGUUGGUAGCUCACCGAGCAACCAAUGAAGUAGCACUUCUGCCCUACUGAGCAGGCUCUGUCAGGCCACAGGAUGACACAGCUGCUCCCCUGUGAGCCGUGCUGGCAGGGCCGUUCCCCCACUCCCAAUUGCAACCCAAAGUGGACAGGGUACGCAUGUCUGCAGUCACUAGCCAGGCAGCUGCUGGCAAGCACCUGCAAAGAGCGGGGGCCUGGGCAGAGCCGCUGGUGGUGCUGCAGGCAGGGCACAGAGAGGAGUAAACUCAGAGCCUGAGCCCUAGGCUGUCCCAGGGCUGCCGGGUGGGGUCACGGCCAUGGGAUUCACCGUCUGGCAGAGGGCCGAAGGAGGAGCACAGAGGAACCUGUAGCCCAGGCAGAGCUUUGUGCUGCCAGCCAGCGUCAGAGCUCAUGUCUCUUGGAUGGGCAGUGUUGCAUGUGUGCCCGAUGGCACCUCUUCCUUGGGGGCAGCCUGGAGGUCCCAGGGCCAGUCUUUCCCAAGCGUGAGCCUGCUGGAGCUCAGCCUGAGCACGGAGGAGCUGGGCUGAUGGAGCAAUGGCCCUAUACAUAGUUAGAGACGGGCAACAGGGCUGAGAAGAGCUGUCACUAGGGGAGGGACCAUUCUGCCUCCAGCUGGGGCACUAGGGCCAGGACACCAUUCCCAUGCUGUCCUCAUGAGCCCCAGUGCAGUUUUCCCAGACUGCAGCCAAGGUCUGAGACACCAGAGACAACAGGGACAGGGAAUCACCUCACCUCUGCCAAGUGGAUUGGUACCUACCAUGGAGGCCACACGGGACAGGGCAGGGCACAUCACUGGCAGUAGCAUUUCUGCCCCCUCCCCGCCUCCCACUAGUCAUUGUGGCUGCAUUCAUUGCGUUGUAGCUGGCUACGCAGGUAAGAUCUGACCGGGCUUCUCUGUAACACAGGAGAUCACAGCUUGCAAGAGGCACAGCUGAGCAUUGCCCAGCUUGAGAUGCCAGACCCUACCUACAUGCUGAGCAGAUGCAAGUGGAGAUUCAGGUGCCAACAAGUUGAUGAGCUUCUGCAACAGGGAAUCCUAGCCUUGUUACCAGGAAGCAGAGCAGCCCCUUUAAAACCAGAACCUGCCAGGUGCAGCCGUCCAGUCGAGCAGGGCUUCAGGAUCGAGCCCUGCCAGCUGGUCAGGUGAUAGGAAGGGAAAGGCCAGAACCACAGCAACCUCAGGCGGAGAAGGCAUGGGGGGGCGGCAAAGAGGGGGACUCCUGAUGACUACAGAGAAGCUGCGGCAGCCUCCUCAGGGAGAACGGGCCACGCUGUGAGACAGAAGCACAAUUGCAUCUGUGGCUUCACCUGCAAAAAAAGAAAAAAGAAAGAAGGUUUGGUGGCAUACCCCUUUUCAUCACAUCACUGAAACUCCCCCCUCCACCAAAAAAAAACCUCACUGUGGCAGCCACAUGCCCAAGAGGUUGUGUCCCAGGCCAUUCAGGUACUGACACACCAGGAAGAUGAUAUCCCUAGUCAGUUCCACUUUGUGGAGAAGUUCAGUUCCUGGGAUGCAGCAUUUCUUUCCAGCUCUGGAUAUGGACUGAAACCCUGUCUCUCAAACAAGUAGCUUACUGAAGAUACUGGAGCUAAGUCUACCCAGCGGACUCAUUCCUAAAGGAGAACAGAAGGGGCCUAAGUCAGGAACGUGCAAGUUAACAAUGGAGAAGGAGCACACUUGGCAUUUGGCCCAACCAUACAAUCGCAACACCCCUCAUUAAAAAAGUUUUCUAGUUUUUUUACUUGCAAAGGACCUUGGAAAAUAUGAGCUGACCUGUUAUUCUGACAAGGACCUACAGCUGAGGUAUACAUUUGCAGCAGAAAGUUGAGGGGACAUAAAAAUCUGCAUGCAUACAUUGCAUUUAAAGCUGGCAUUGGUAUCUGAGAGGAAUGCAAGAACCCUGCCCCAAAUCUUCAGAAUCCUCAUCCCAUCCGCUAGUCCCGAGCCUGGUCAGCAGAUAUGGGGCACAGGGGUCUGUUUCUUUUUAAGGUAUAAAAAGAGCAGGAAUGAAGAGCCAUUGUUUCACUGAUCCACUCCUGCCCAUCUCCCCCAUCUCUCUUCCCAAAAAGAUGCUAACACCAACUAAGAAGAAUGGACCAAGUCAGGCAAGAGGAUGGUCCCUUUGACAAGCCUAACAUUUUAUGAUUCACACCUGAAAGAGUGGGACUAGUGCUUCAUGAAGAUUUAGAUGAGAAAGUCAGAGCAUCAGAUUCUUAGCUUCCUGAUGUCGUGGAAACACACGCAGCAUACUUUUGGGUCAGGUCAGCAGAAGCUUUUAUUCAAAAGAAACUACAGCUGUAGGGGGAGUUCCAAAGUGACAUGGAUCUCCCAAGCACUUGGAAGGGGUCCCCCCCCAAGAGCAAAAUCAGGAGGCUUAUAUACUUUUUAACAGUCGCUUAUAACUCACGUGAUCAUAUAGUGAAAUUAGCAUGAAAAGCAGCUAUAAUAUUACUUCAUUAUUUCUUUGCUGUAAUCAGGAUGGGAACUAAUGGGGGAGGCGAGGUUAGUUCACAAACCUCUUUCUUGCACCUGGAAAUCUACUUUGUACAUACUUUUUGCUACCUUCAAGGCCGCGGUGAGUGAAGCAGUUGCAGAGGAGUUAUAAAGAACAAACACUUGCCCUUAUCUGUUCUACUGUACAGAGCCAGCAAUUCUCCACAAAGCGGUUAUGUCAUCUUAUAACUAAAAUAAUCAAAGUUUAAGGCAUAUAUUUUUUCUGAUUCCACACUGAGUCCUGCAUGAACACUUCAGAAUAGCUACCCAAGCACUAAGUCUAGACCCUGCAUUAAAGUCAUACUGAACCUUCUUCCCACAACAUUUGCUCACUGCUUGACUGUUCUGCUCACUUCAAAUAGUAUCUGUGUUCUGCUUUAGUUUUUAGCCAGAACAUAUGGCAAAACCCCUGCUCUUCCAUCUCACAACGUGUACUGACCUUGAUGAAGUAGUUAGUCCCGCCAACCAACUGGGUUCUAUAUAUUAUGGCUUUAAAGACUGUAUAGGUCUUGUCUGUUUUUGCUUCCAGCUGUGACUUCACCUGCAAGAAAAGAAAAAAGAAAUAAGGUUUGGUGGCAUAACAUUUUUCAUCACAUUAACUGCCUCAGUCCCUCUUUCUGUGGUUCUUGAAAUAAGCACAUUCAAAUGUAUCAACUGUUAGAAUAUGUUUUAAAAUAUGUUAUAUCUAUGCUAUGGUUAUGUUUAUGCUAAGCUGUUUUUAAAUAUAUUUUCAUUUUAUAGCAAAAGAAGUGGUAAGGGGGGGUGUAUGUGUGCUAUGGAUAUAUGAUUGAUAGAUGGAUGAUUGCAACAGGUAUUAGACAGACUGAUACGAAGUAUUUGAAGUAAACAGAGAUAUACGUCACGAUGAAGCGCAGGUGGUGGUCCAAGAAUGUGGAGAUGUUACAAAUAAGAACUGAAAAAGAGACUGAAAUGUAAAAACAAUGUGUAAUCAGUAACAGAGUCCAAAAGAUGGGCUCAAGUGAAAAAUUAAGCAGUGAUUGGUGAAGGAGUCUCCAGGCAUUGAUUGAAGUCUGCCCCAUGAAAAUAAAAGGGCAGUGAAGGCUGAGCCCAAACAUGCCUUAACCAGCAACACCAGCCUGCCCGCACAUCAAGAGCAUUGAGGACGUGUAGAGGGUGCAUAUGCCCUUCCUGAGAUUGGCGGUGCACCCCCUGCACCACCAACGCUACCAACAGUGCCUGUGGGCAGUUGCCACUCACCACUCUCCCUCCCCCCUCCCCCACUGCUGACACUGCUGGCAGCAUCUGCAGGUGAUCACCGAUCACUGCUGGCCACCACUGAUGCUCCCAGCAGUGUCUGCGGGUGGUUGCCACCUCCCCCCCACCACCAACACUGCUGCGGACACCUGCGGGACCUCCCCACUUGCCACCACCAUGCUCCCACCGCCAUCACCUACAGGUGGCCAUCGUUCCCCGCCUCAGCCUUUGGGGGCACGUCAUUCAUGGUUGAGAGAAUUGAAGCCGGCACCCCUCUCGACUGAACAUCGCCUUGAAGAAGCCUGUGACUGGCCACUGUAGUGUGACUCCAAGUGCCGCAGAUAGGCGACUUGGUGUGAAUGGUGUGAAUGAAAUGUAUGAUGUGAAUGAAUAAAAGUGAUUCUUAUAUAA